rnacentral:rRNA from 1 species
UAACCUGCCCAAUAGAUCGGGAUAACACCUGGAAACAGAUGCUAAUACCGGAUAACAACAGAUGAUGCCUAUCAACUGUUUAAAAGAUGGUUCUGCUAUCACUCUUGGAUGGACCUGCGGUGCAUUAGCUAGUUGGUAGGGUAACGGCCUACCAAGGCGAUGAUGCAUAGCCGAGUUGAGAGACUGAUCGGCCACAUUGGGACUGAGACACGGCCCAAACUCCUACGGGAGGCAGCAGCC